CGGAACCCUCACAAGUGACCGUUUCUUGUCUGUAACACUUGGGGGCGGUGCUGAGCCCAAUACUGCAUGUUCUGCAUUACCAAAAAAUGCCCUUUGUGUCCUGCUUUGUAAAAACUCAUUGAACUUUUUAUUGAAAUGUUUCAUUAACCUGAAAUGUUCACAACUCAAAUGAAAAAUGCCUGUAGUACAUGGGGAUUGACUUUUGUAUAAAAUGGGACUGGCGUGCCCUUGAGGUUCCACACACAGUCGGAACCCUCACAAGUGACCGUUUCUUGUCUGUAACACUUGGGGGCGGUGCUGAGCCCGAUACUGCAUGUUCUGCAUUACCAAAAAAUGCCCUUUGUGUCCUGCUUUGUAAAAACUCAUUGAACUUUUUAUUGAAAUGUUUCAUUAACCUGAAAUGUUCACAACUCAAAUGAAAAAUGCCUGUAGUACAUGGGGAUUGACUUUUGUAUAAAAUGGGACUGGCAACUCCUUAAGGUUCCACACACAGUCGGAACCCUCACAAGUGACCGUUUCUUGUCUGUAACACUUUGGGGCGAUGCUGAGUCCCAGUACUGCAUGCUUUGCAUUACCCAACAUGCCCGUUGUGUCCUGCUUUGUAAAAACUCAUUCAACUUCUGAUUAAAAUGUUUCAUUAACCUGAAAUCAAUUACGUAAAACAGCAUACAGCUAAAGUAUUUUGUCCCAACUCAAAUGGAAAUGUGUGAUUUUUUGCCCAAACGUACCAUGUUGGUAAAGUGUAUGUGUUCGGCUGCGCCUUUCACUUGCGGGUUGGGCAAACUUAUCUUUGCGCAGUGGCAGUAUCGUAGCCCAUGAGGUACAUCCGAGGCGUGAUUAUUGCUGGUUGAAAACUUAACCCAAUACCCCGCCAAAUCUGCUUGAAAUAUUAGCGGGUUUGGCAAUUUUUGACAGUCUCAUAUGGGACUGAUUA